CACGGCAGAAGAUAGACAUCUUCGUACAUGGCCCUUGCCUUUUACCAGAGCCAUCCGGGUGUUUUCUUUUAUAUGCCGUUUGCUAGUUUUUGGAAUUUUUUAAAUUUACAUUUAAAC
rnacentral:snRNA from 1 species